GAUGAACGCCGGCGGUGUGCCUAAUACAUGCAAGUCGUACGCACUGGCCCAACUGAUUGAUGGUGCUUGCACCGGAUUGACGAUGGAUCACCAGUGAGUGGCGGACGGGUGAGUAACACGUAGGUAACCUGCCCCGGAGCGGGGGAUAACAUUUGGAAACAGAUGCUAAUACCGCAUAACAACAAAAGCCACAUGGCUUUUGCUUGAAAGAUGGCUUUGGCUAUCACUCUGGGAUGGACCUGCGGUGCAUUAGCUAGUUGGUAAGGUAAUGGCUUACCAAGGCGAUGAUGCAUAGCCGAGUUGAGAGACUGAUCGGCCACAAUGGAACUGAGACACGGUCCAUACUCCUACGGGAGGCAGCAGUAGGGAAUCUUCCACAAUGGGCGCAAGCCUGAUGGAGCAACACCGCGUGAGUGAAGAAGGGUUUCGGCUCGUAAAGCUCUGUUGUUGGAGAAGAACGUGCGUGAGAGUAACUGUUCACGCAGUGACGGUAUCCAACCAGAAAGUCACGGCUAACUACGUGCCAGCAGCCGCGGUAAUACGUAGGUGGCAAGCGUUAUCCGGAUUUAUUGGGCGUAAAGCGAGCGCAGGCGGUUGCUUAGGUCUGAUGUGAAAGCCUUCGGCUUAACCGAAGAAGUGCAUCGGAAACCGGGCAACUUGAGUGCAGAAGAGGACAGUGGAACUCCAUGUGUAGCGGUGGAAUGCGUAGAUAUAUGGAAGAACACCAGUGGCGAAGGCGGCUGUCUGGUCUGCAACUGACGCUGAGGCUCGAAAGCAUGGGUAGCGAACAGGAUUAGAUACCCUGGUAGUCCAUGCCGUAAACGAUGAGUGCUAGGUGUUGGAGGGUUUCCGCCCUUCAGUGCCGGAGCUAACGCAUUAAGCACUCCGCCUGGGGAGUACGACCGCAAGGUUGAAACUCAAAGGAAUUGACGGGGGCCCGCACAAGCGGUGGAGCAUGUGGUUUAAUUCGAAGCUACGCGAAGAACCUUACCAGGUCUUGACAUCUUGCGCUAACCUUAGAGAUAAGGCGUUCCCUUCGGGGACGCAAUGACAGGUGGUGCAUGGUCGUCGUCAGCUCGUGUCGUGAGAUGUUGGGUUAAGUCCCGCAACGAGCGCAACCCUUGUUACUAGUUGCCAGCAUUAAGUUGGGCACUCUAGUGAGACUGCCGGUGACAAACCGGAGGAAGGUGGGGACGACGUCAGAUCAUCAUGCCCCUUAUGACCUGGGCUACACACGUGCUACAAUGGACGGUACAACGAGUCGCAAACUCGCGAGAGUAAGCUAAUCUCUUAAAGCCGUUCUCAGUUCGGACUGUAGGCUGCAACUCGCCUACACGAAGUCGGAAUCGCUAGUAAUCGCGGAUCAGCAUGCCGCGGUGAAUACGUUCCCGGGCCUUGUACACACCGCCCGUCACACCAUGGGAGUUUGUAACGCCCAAAGUCGGUGGCCUAACCUUUAUGGAGGGAGCCGCCUAAGGCGGGACAGAUGACUGGGGUGAAGUCGUAACAAGGUAGCCGUAGGAGAACCUGCGGCUGGAUCACCUCCUUUCUAAGGAAUAAAACGGAACCUACACAUCGAAGAAACUUUGUUUAGUUUUGAGAGGUUUACCUCUUAAAACUUUAACCUAUAAGACGCUUAUUUGGGCCUAUAGCUCAGCUGGUUUAGAGCGCACGCCUGAUAAGCGUGAGGUCGAUGGUUCAAGUCCAUUUAGGCCCAUAUGGGGAAUUAGCUCAGCUGGGAGAGCACCUGCUUUGCAAGCAGGAGGUCAUCGGUUCGAUUCCGUUAUUCUCCAUUAUCAACCAUAAGGUUGAUAGAGUUUGUACUUUGAAAACUAAAUACUAUCUAAUUUCUUUAUUAACAAAACAAUAAACCGAGAACACCGCGUUAUUUGAGUUUUAAUUAACGAAUUAUAAUCGCUAACUCAAUUAAUCAGACAAUCUUUGAUUGUUUAGGUUAAGUUAUAAAGGGCGCAUGGUGAAUGCCUUGGUACUAGGAGCCGAUGAAGGACGGGACUAACACCGAUAUGCUUCGGGGAGCGGUAAGUACGCUUUGAUCCGGAGAUUUCCGAAUGGGGCAACCCAAUCAGCUUAGUCGCUGAUUACUUGACUAGUGAAUACAUAGCUAGCAAGAGGUAGACGCAGUGAACUGAAACAUCUUAGUAGCUGCAGGAAGAGAAAGAAACAUCGAUUCCCUGAGUAGCGGCGAGCGAAAAGGGAAGAGCCCAAACCAGCAAGCUUGCUUGUUGGGGUUGUAGGACUGAACAUUAGAGUUACCAAAGUGCGACGUAGUCGCAACAGUUGGGAAGCUGUGCCAUAGAGGGUGAAAGCCCCGUAGACGAAACGUCACACUCUCUGUUCAGGAUCCUGAGUACGGCGGGACACGUGAAACCCCGUCGGAACCCGCGAGGACCAUCUCGCAAGGCUAAAUACUCCCUAGUGACCGAUAGUGAACC
rnacentral:rRNA from 1 species